rnacentral:sRNA from 1 species
AGAGCGACACAGAUAACGCAGCUUAUUGCUAUAGGCAUUUGACACAAAAGAAGAGAUCGUGCAAUAUGUAAACAAAAUCAGUGCAAUAUUAACAGCCGACGAUGAUAGUGCAUUCUAUCGUAGUUAUUAAGUUAACUUGACGAUUAUUGUUUACAAAUCCCCUGAAGAUGCAAUUUAUACAAUUGCGAAAUAUCGGAGAUCAAAAAUGAAAUAAAAUAAAA